rnacentral:lncRNA from 1 species
GUAGAAACCUCAUUGUCGAAGAAGCUCGGAUAUUGAUGAAGUCCGGAAGGAGUUCGGAGAAUAGUUGAUCACUGUAGAAGGUCGGUUGAUAGUGAGGCCUAAAAAGUCUUUGGAGUGGCCCGAUAGACGGAUGGGGAAGCUCACUGCUGGAGAAGUCCGAAAGAUCGAACGGUCUAGGGGGUUCAGAGAGACACCACAC